ACCACCACGCCCAGCCAGGCUUCCAAUGUAUGUGCACAGGCAGGUGCAGCCUCCCAGGGCUUCAGUCCCAGCAUGGUGGUGGCCACCGCGGUGACCUCAGAGUCUGCGUAUUACUUUCAUCUCCUCUGGCCCAGGCCCUCGCCUUGUGCUCCUGGCAUUUGUCACUGACUCCUCCUGGGAGCCCCGUGCGUCUCUGCUUGACGGACGAGGCCAGGCAGGGUGCUGCCUGUGGCUUCGAGCCCUGUCCUGCCAGCCCCAGAGCCUGCACCGUGGACCCCAGGGCCCGGGGAGGGCAAGCGCUCGGGGAUGUUGCCGGCAGGGUGGGCGCUGUGGUCACGUGUGUGAGCCCCGACUCGUGUGCACGCUGUGAGCGUGAGUGACGGGGUCACGGCGCAUGUUGGGAGUGGGUGAGCCGCGCACACGCGUGCAGGUUGUAAAUGUAGCUGUGCCCGGGGGCGGGGGGCGCUGGGAGGAGACACAGCCAGGCGGGGAACCGGAUCAGAAGGAGGGGGCUCGGCCGCAUUGGUGAUGUGGCUGCCGCUUCUGUGUCCCCCUCCUGCCGUGGCCCUGGUGGGCCCUGGGAGCCCAGCUUCCCGUGGGUUGUGAUGAGUUCUGUUACCAAGUUCUCGGGCCAGGAGUACAGGUGCUGGCGGCCACAGUGCCCACUCCUGGGCCCACGUUGGAGACAAAGAGAAAGAAGUGUAGGGAUUUCCAGGCCUGGGCCUGGGUCAGGUCUUUGUGCCAGCAAAGCCACAGCCUUCCCACCCGAGUCUUCCUGCUGUGGUCUCUGAGUCCCGCGACCUUAGAGUUGCCUGUGUAGGUGGUGAGCACCCCGUCCCGGGAGGCAUCCCAGCCACCGCUCCUGGGUUCCUGGGGUGGGUGUGGCCGGACAAUGGGUAGAUGCUGACAGCUGUAAAGGCAGGGCUCUGCUGCUUCCAGAUGUUGUGUCUCCUGGGCGCACUAUGGGCAACUUCUGCCUUGGCUUCCUUCAGGAAGGAGGCGGGGCUGAGGCCUUGGGGAGUGCGAGGCAGCCAGGACCUAACACCCGAGGGAACGGCAGGCAUGGUGGAAGGGCCGGAAGUGCAGAGCCUCUCAGCGCAGGGCAGACAGGAAGCAGCGAGCCGGGGGAGGAGCCUUCCAGACCACGCCCACUGACCCGCCACUCCCAGCCAGGCCCCGCCCCUCAAGCGAGGCAGCUCCGCGCCCCACCUAUGAGCGCAAGGGGCUCUUGGGGACACGGAGAUAGAGACACACAGGAGGAAGUGUCCAGGAAGCAAUGACAGGAGCCUGUGGGUCGGUGCUCCUGUCCCUGCCCCCGCAUCCAUCUCCUCCGAGGCCCCAGUGCUGACCAUGGGCAGCGACGUGCCCACAUCUCCCGCUUUACGGAGAAGGAGGUGCAGCAGUGGUGCUGCCCCGGACACUGGGACCCAGCAGGAACCGAACGCAGCCCCAGAGCUACAUGUUGCCAACCAGGACAGCACCAUGGAGAGAAGGAAACCUGAGUCCAGGACGGGCGGGCAUUUGGGUUUCCAUGGCAGGCUGGGACCCCAGCCCCACGACACCCGCUCUCCGCUGCAGUGGCUUUUUCCCUAAAGAUGCUAGAAAGGAAAUAAGUGGCCCUUUCUUCGGCAGGAAGUCCUGUGGACUCACUGAGCACCCUUUGGUGCCUCUGGUGGUGCUGUCAAGGUUGGAGACAGGUGGCCCCCAGGCCGUCCCACCCCCAACCUCUGGACAGGCCGCACCCAUCAUUGACCCAGGCGGUCGAACAGUGGCCUUCUUGCCCCCUCUGUCCCCUCCUGUGCCCCUGCCAGACAUCAGCAAUGGAUCACAGAUCACGAUGCUGUGAAUCCGUCUCUCCCAGCACCCUGGUCAGCUGCUGCCACACCAAGCGAACCCAGUCAUGGACCCUCAACUGGCCUUAGCCUCACCCCAUGACCUGGGACUGUAGCACAGGCCUGUGGGGCUAGAGACUGGGUCCUCAGGCCACUGUCCCCUUUGCCCCUUGCCCUUGUGACAAACCAGACAGCACUUGCCAUUCUCAACAUCCACGACGUCAGCCUCUCCCUUGGAAAAGUUGCGGUUCUGGAACCCAGGCCACCGGGCAGCUGAGGCGUCAGGGGAGGGCAAGGGAAACAGGAGCAUCGGGGUCAGCUGUGGGCCUCCAGGGAGCCCCUUUGUGGCCCCCAGUGGUUUGGGUGGUGGGACUGUCGAUUACGGGUGCUCUUUGUCCUCUUUUAUUUUCUGUUUUCCAAAUUCCUUGGAUAAUAACCAAGCAUCCCAGCGGAAUAAGACAAGCAGUGGGUGGAAGCAGAAGGGAUCCUGGAGGCGUCUGCCCCACGCAAGGGAGGGCGAUGAGGCUGCCUCCCCAGUGUCCCCCGGCCCCUGUGGGGGGCUACGCUGGUCCUUAGAGCAGUGCCCUGUCACGUCUUGGCCUUUUGGCUAAGAUCAAGUGUAGGGCGGUGCCCUGCCCUGAGCCCCAGGAAUGGCCCCAUCUUACAGAUGGCGAAACAGAGGCUGAGAGGGGCGCAGUGCUCUCCCAGACCACAGGCUGUGUGUGGGUACGUGGUCUGCGUCCGGCUCCUCCCUCCUCCUCCUCCUCCUCUCUGGUUCUUGGGCUCCAUGUUGGCUUCUGGCCCAGGGGAACCCAGGACUCUGAAGCUGUGGGGUAUCAGGAGGAGGCCUGCGGGGUUCUGGGAGGGGGUCGGGAAGAGACACGGGGAGCGCUUGCUCUCCGCCGCGCCCCUCCUGGCUGUGCCUGCAGGCUCCUGGCAACCUAGGGCCCUGGUUUGUUCCCCCGCAGCCCCCUGUUCCGCCUCUGGCACUGGCGCCGAAGGACGCAGGCAGCUACCGCACUGUCCUAGCUGCGGGAGACAAGGAGAACAGGGCCUGGUCUCCUGCCUAGCCCCGUGCUCCCACGGCCCAGCAGGCUGGGGCUUGUGUGCGAGGCAGUGUCACAGGGCCCAGGAGAACGAGAGCCGUGCAGAAACAGGACCCUGGUGUCCCGAGCACGCACCUGCAGCCUCCUAUUCCAUCCUUGCUGAGCACCUGCUGUGUGCCAGGCCGGUGCCCGCUGCCGGGGCGUCAGGGACGGAGCCGAGAAGGUUGCAGGGUCUCGCUGGGGACGUGCAGGCGGUUGGCUGGCUGGGCUGGCCUUGCUGGGGCUGGGGGCGGCGGGAUUCGCAGAAGGCAGCCAGCCCUUGGGGUUUUUGUGCAGUGACAGAUUUCUCGCCCCCCACCCUCCCCUUGCAAAGAAGUGUAAGCCUGUUGCCGUCAGCUCUGGGUCUCCUCUUGCACCCUUUCUGUCUGCAGGAGCGGCCUGCCAUACCCACGCCGCAGCUGCUCUGGAGCCCCUCGAGGAGGGGUCCUGGGCUCCUCCCCUUCCCAGGGGUCUCCCGGGAGUGGUGGCAGGGGCGUUAUGGUGAUCGUAAGGAGGAGACCCCUCCGGCCACUCCCUCCCGUGCUGCACUUGAGGCCCGACCUGCAGUUGGGGCCUGGAGAUCCUGGGGCUGGGCUGAGAUCUCAACCUGAACCCUGACCUGGCUGCGCUGUGGAACCAGGCUGCCCCUGUGUCCUCUCUGCCCCUCUCCCAGCCCCACCUGAGCCAGCAGGGUGCACAGUGAAACCCCAGCCCACUCCCUGCGUCCACUUCCAGCCACGUGACUGUGUCACAUGGCCGAGGACUCCCGUGCUGUAGCGGAACUGGACCGUGCCUGCCUCCGUGGCCCAGGCAGUGGCCCGGGGACACAAGUCGGCCUCAGCACAGUGUGAGAGGAGCCAGCCAGACCCCGCCCUGGUACAGGGUGCUGACAGUGGCCCUCGUGUGCGGGACCCCGUCUGGGAGACACAGUGGUCUGCAGGUAUAAGGGCUUCAUCAAGGACUGUCCCAGCGGGCAGCUGGACGCCGCUGGCUUCCAGAAGAUCUACAAGCA